GCCGACCUAGCUCAACGGUAGAGCACAGCUUUCGUAAAGCUGGGGUUCGGGGUUCGAAUCCCCGGGUCGGCU
rnacentral:tRNA from 1 species